CGCGUAGGCGACAUGGCAAGUCGGGAGUGAAAGCCCGGGGCUCAACCCCGGAACUGCUUUCGAAACUGCCAAGCUAGAGUACGGAAGGGGCAACUGGAAUUCCCAGUGUAGCGGUGAAAUGCGUAGAUAUUGGGAAGAACACCGGAGGCGAAGGCGGGUUGCUGGGCCGGAUACUGACGCUGAGGCGCGAAAGCCAGGGGAGGCAAAACGG
rnacentral:rRNA from 1 species